rnacentral:lncRNA from 1 species
GAACAUGAUGUUCUUCAAGAAACCUUUCCCAAGUGAGAUAUUGCUGCAAACAGCUAGCUUCUGAACUAUGAAAGGUUCGAUUUUUUCUCCCUUUUGGUUGAAUAGAUUGAACGCAACCGCUGGUCCUCUAUUGAAAUCAACUUUUGGACCGUAGAUUUUAACUAGACGAGUAUUUGUUGGAUGUUUUAGUUUGUGGAGAGCACUUACUAACCAGUUGAUCAAGCAUCUUGAUCUGUUCCCUGUUGCUACCAACCCUAGUGAGUCCACAUGAUCUAAGCCUUUGUAUUCGACACUAGAACUAAAGCUAUAUGUUUCUUCCGACUCUGUUUGUAUCCUGUUUAUUUCCAACGCGUGUAAUGAAAUCGGAUUGUCGGUAGGUACGAGGUUAACCAUACCUGAGCCAGUGGAAGAUUCAAGAAUCGGAAUGGUGGUUUUCUUUACAAACAAGCAACCGAAUCCGGAAGGGUUUUCUCCA